GGGCGAUUAGCUCAGUUGGUUAGAGCAUUACCUUCACACGGUAGGGGUCACUGGUCCGAGUCCAGUAUCGCCCACCA
rnacentral:tRNA from 3 species